AAUUCUCAACCCUUUCAGCUUUUGCGAGCUGGAUUGGCUUGGAUUGUGGGGGUUUGCGGGCUUCUCAGAAGUCGGCUCCUCUUAAAUGCAUUAGCGGAACCUUUGUGGACCAGCUUUGGUGUGAUAAUUAUCUACGCCAUGGUUGUGAAGCAGUUUUACAUGGGGUUCAGCUUCUAAUCGUCCAUUGACUUGGACAACUUUUGACA
rnacentral:misc_RNA from 1 species